rnacentral:rRNA from 1 species
CGCCUGUUUAUCAAAAACAUCGCCUUUUGUAUUACCAAAAAUAAGAGGUCCUGCCUGCCCAGUGAAUCCUUUAUCAACGGCCGCGGUAUUUUGACCGUGCAAAGGUAGCGUAAUCAUUUGUCUUUUAAAUGAAGACCUGUAUGAACGGCUCAACGAGGGCUUGACUGUCUCCUUUUUCUGGUCAAUGAAAUUGAUCUCCCCGUGCAAAAGCGGGGAUACAUCCAUAAGACGAGAAGACCCUAUGGAGCUUUAGAUGUGACGCAAGCCCUAUCUGCUGCUUCCAAAUAAAAGAAUCAACACACUAGCUUCUGCCUCAACAUCUUCGGUUGGGGUGACCAUGGGGAACAAAAAACCCCCACGUCCCUGUACUGGAGUCUUUUUCUUAAAAAAUCUUUUCCACCAAACUCAUUAAAACGAGAGUCGCAACUCUAAUUAACAGAACCUCUGACUAAUGAUCCGGCAAUGCCGAUUAACGAACCAAGUUACCCUAGGGAUAACAGCGCAAUCCCCUUCCAGAGUCCAUAUCGACAAGGGGGCUUACGACCUCGAUGUUGGAUCAGGACAUCCUAAUGGUGCARCCGCUAUUAAGGGUUCGUUUGUUCAACGAUUAAAGCCCUACGUGAUCUGAGUUCAGACCGG